AGAAUAUGAUGAUUUGAAUUUAUCACCAUCUUUCGACUGAGGAAAGUGAUGAGUCAUAUUCUUACUGAUCGUUCU